rnacentral:rRNA from 1 species
UCAGGAUGAACGCUAGCGGCAGGCUUAACACAUGCAAGUCGAGGGGCAACGCGAGUAGCAAUACUUGGCGGCGACCGGCGCAAGGGUGCGUAACGCGUGAGCAACAUGCCCGUAUCAGGGGGAUAAUCCAGGGAAACUUGGUCUAAUACCCCAUAGUAAUUUUGUAAGGCAUCUUAUAAGAUUUAAAGCUUUGGUGGAUACGGAUUGGCUCGCGUGACAUUAGCUGGAUGGUAAGGUAACGGCUUACCAUGGCUAUGAUGUCUAGGGGUUCUGAGAGGAAGGUCCCCCCACACUGGAACUGAGACACGGUCCAGACUCCUACGGGAGGCAGCAGUGAGGAAUAUUGGACAAUGGAUGGAAAUCUGAUCCAGCCAUGCCGCGUGAAGGAAAGAAGGUCCUAUGGAUUGUAAACUUCUUUUGUAUGGGAGCAAUAAGGCCUACGAGUAGGUUGAUGAGAGUACCAUACGAAUAAGCACCGGCUAACUCCGUGCCAGCCGCUGC